AAUUGAAUUAUUGGGGUUCUUUGAUAUGCCAAAUCUAACCGUGUUUUUAGAUUUUUAAUUUGGGUCCCGUUUUUUAAAUUGGUCUUCAUUGAGGUCCAAAGGGUCCAAAAUUAAACUUAGUUUGAUUUUAACAAAAAUUGAAUUCUUGGGGUUCUUUGAUAUGCUGAAUCUAAACAUGUGUUUAGAUUUUUGAUUAUGGGCCCAGUUUUCAAGUUGGUCCAAGAUAGGGUCCAGUAUUUAAACUUUGUUUGAUUUCAACAAAAAUUGAAUAUAUGGGGUUCUUUGAUAUGCUGAAUCUAAACAUGUAUUUAGAUUUUUGAUUUUUGGCCCAGUUUUCAAGUUGGUCCAAAUUGAGGUCCAAAAUUAAACUUUGUUUGAUUUCAACAAAAAUUGAAUAUAUGGGGUUCUUUGAUAUGCUGAAUCUAACCAUGUAUUUAGAUUUUUUAUUUGUGGACCCUGUUAUCUAAUUGGUUCAUAUUGAGGUCAAAAGGGUCCAAAAUUAAACUUUGUUUGAUUUCAUCUAAAAUUGAAUUAUUGGGGUUCUUUGAUAUUCCAAAUCUAACCGUGUAUUUAGGUUUUUAAUUUUGGGUCCUGUUUUUUAAAUUGGUCUACAUUGAGGUCCAAAGGGUCCAAAAUUAAACUUAGUUUGAUUUUAACAAAAAUUGAAUUCUUGGGGUUCUUUGAUAUGCUGAAUCUAAACAUGUGUUUAGAUUUUUGAUUAUGGGCCCAGUUUUCAAGUUGGUCCAAGUUGGGGUCCAAAAUUAUAUUUUUUUUUAUUUCAACAAAAAUUGAAUAUAUGGGGUUCUUUGAUAUGCUGAAUCUAACCAUGUAUUUUGAUUUUGGACAUUGGACCAUAAUAGGUAAAUUAAAAAAAUUCAAGUUCUUAGACCACAUUCUUUCUGUGUCAGAAACCUAUGCUGUG